AUGGCCUUAGUUCGAAAGUAUGGCAAGCCGAACGUCUUCCUCACAAUGACAUGCAACCCAAACUGGGAUGAGAUUAGGCAGGAACUCUACCCCGGUCAGACACCUCAGGAUCGUCCCGAUCUCGUUGUUCGUGUUUUUAGGGCAAAGUUGGAGGAACUCAAGAAUAAGUUGCUUCAGAAGGACAUCCUGGGCAAGGUGAGGGCUUAUGUUUAUGUGGUGGAAUUCCAAAAGAGGGGUCUG
rnacentral:rRNA from 1 species